rnacentral:pre_miRNA from 2 species
AAGAGAGCUAUCCGUCGACAGUCAAGUUAAGACCGAUUGUAAUACUGUCAUGGAAUUGCUCUCUUUG